rnacentral:lncRNA from 10 species
CGACCUAUUCCCUGCCACAUGAUCCUGGGGGCAGAUGGAUAGCUGAUCUCUGAGUGACUACAGUGAACAAAGAAAGAAAGACUCCUGCCAAACCUUGUGGACAGUCAGAUAAUUGGAAUGUUCCCUUUGUAAGGUUGGGAAGAAGGACGAUCAAGUGGGUAGCUAGCUCCUUGCACCUCUGUGGAAGAGCUAAACUUCCUCUGUGAAGAGCUUCACCACAGGGCCCUUGGCACUGGGGACAGAGUGGCACAUUUAUACCAAGCACCCACUUCCACUUUCUCUCUAACACUUGAAAACUUUCACAGUACUUUUUCACUAAGGCUACUGUCAAGUCUGAAAAAUAAAGACAUUGUUUCACUUAGA